UCGAUUGUAAUAGUAUCUUUUCAUAUAAUUCUCCGCAUCAUAUUCAUAGACUUCAAGUUCCAUCUCUAUAAUUUUUUUAUUCCCCUCCAUACCUUAAAGCAUAAUAAACAUAGCUCUGCAAGUUUCCUUAACCCAUCUUUUCACCCAUUUGAUUUUAUAUAAUCAGUUAUCGAUAAAUUAGAUAGCCACCUCAGUUUACAUCCAACUUCUGCCGAAAUCCCUUCUUUCUUUCUUUUGGGAACCAGCGAGCUGGAUACACGGGUGAAAAAAAAACAAGUGAAAAUAAUAUCUAUAGUAAACGGAAAGUUAAAUCUUACAUAUAUAUACCUAACAAAAAGUUGGCGAAAAUCAAUAAAUAUCUAUUAAUUCCGGUGCCAUCUUUAUAUAAAAUAAUAACGCCUGGAUUUUUACACACUAGAGAUGUCAAUAUCCACAUCAUCCUUUCGUUUGUCAAUGCAUGCGUUAAGGACAUUGGUGGGCUAAACUAUUUCCGUAAGCAAGUGCAUGCAAAUUAUUGCUCACACUGAUAUUCGUGACAACACUGGUCAUCCUCAAGAAUCCAUUCUUGGCGACAGGAAUUAUAGUGCUACUAAAGUUCUAUCAACUUGCACUCUAUGAUUCCACCUAAUUUUAAUACUUCAUUGUUGUCUCCGGAAUUGACACUGAGAACGAUAACUCCAUUGUGGGUAUCACCCACCUGUAUAACAUAGCCUUCAAUACCCGUUUCGACUACCAAAAACCUACGACCUCAUCGGCGACCGGCGAUAACUUCCAGCAUCACUAAUUGAAUUACAUUAUUAUUCUUCAUAUACCAUUCCUACAGUGAAUCAACAUCUAAUACAGCGAACUGACCUGAAAAAUAACAAAAGAAACCUUAACUGAGAAUUAUUGCAAAUGGGAUUAAUACAAUAUAUAGUAUUUACCUUUAGCGUAUAAUACUUACCUUAGUCUGUAAAAUUUACCUUUAAUCAUUUCCUUACACAUAAUUUAGAUCGUUUCGACGUAUUUUCCAAAUGUGCCUUCAAUCAAGGAGUUUUUGGAAUAAAAAUUACGCUCAAGAUCGCAGAAUAUUUUAUCUUUAAAAGUUUGUUUAUUCUAAAAGCACACCUCUCGCUAAGGUAUCAAAUUAUUCGUAAUUGUUUGUAGAAUACAAUACAUACUUAAAUAGUUCUUAAAAUUAAAUGCUUC